UUGCAGAUUUGUAAAUUUCUUAGAAUGGAACUAACCUGAGCUCUUUGUUCUACAGCUGGGCUCACUGCCCCCAUUGGGCAGUGAGCUAGGGGGAC
rnacentral:lncRNA from 1 species